UGGGGGAUAUUGCACAAUGGGCGAAAGCCUGAUGCAGCGACGCCGCGUGGGGGAUGAAGGCCUUCGGGUUGUAAACUUCUUUUGCUCUGAACAAGGCAUGCUAAUGGGUGUGUUGAGUGUAGGGGUUGAUUAGCGCCGGCUAACUACGUGCCAGCAGCCGCGGUAAUACGUAGGGCGCGAGCGUUGUCCGGAAUUAUUGGGCGUAAAGGGCUUGUAGGUGGCUGGUUGCGUCUGUCGUGAAAGCUCAUGGCUUAACUGUGGGUUUGCGGUGGGUACGGGCUGGCUUGAGUGCAGUAGGGGAGGCUGGAAUUCCUGGUGUAGCGGUGGAAUGCGCAGAUAUCAGGAGGAAUACCGGUGGCGAAGGCGGGUCUCUGGGCUGUUACUGACACUGAGGGGCGAAAGCAUGGGGAGCGAACAGG
rnacentral:rRNA from 1 species